rnacentral:lncRNA from 1 species
GAUAUGGUAUUUUCAGUUGGAUUUAAAAUUUAAGAGAGAAAUGUUGGUGGUAUUUUUGGUGAUUCAGUCACAAUGGUUUCAGAUGUUAUUGGUACAUGAGUAAUGGUUGUUUCAUAUACAAUUGGUUGUUUUUGUUUGGGAUUUGAGAUUGUUCCAAAUGGAAUUAAAAUAGAUGGUAUUGGUGUUGAGUGGGUUGGAGAGGAG